AGAGUGAACGCUGGCGGUAGGCCUAACACAUGCAAGUCGAACGGCAGCACAGGAGAGCUUGCUCUCUGGGUGGCGAGUGGCGGACGGGUGAGGAAUACAUCGGAAUCUACCUUUUCGUGGGGGAUAACGUAGGGAAACUUACGCUAAUACCGCAUAAGACCUUCGGGUGAAAGCCGGGGACCUUCGGGCCUGGCGCGGAUAGAUGAGCCGAUGUCGGAUUAGCUUGUUGGCGGGGUAAAAGCCCACCAAGGCGACGAUCCGUAGCUGGUCUGAGAGGAUGAUCAGCCACACUGGAACUGAGACACGGUCCAGACUCCUACGGGAGGCAGCAGUGGGGAAUAUUGGACAAUGGGCGCAAGCCUGAUCCAGCCAUACCGCGUGGGUGAAGAAGGCCUUCGGGUUGUAAAGCCCUUUUGUUAGGAAAGAAAUCCUGCCGAUUAAUACUACAGUAGGAUGACGUACCCAAAGAAUAAGCACCGGACUAACUUCGUCGCCAGCAGCCGACGGUAAUCUA
rnacentral:rRNA from 1 species